rnacentral:misc_RNA from 1 species
GAAACAUUGAAACUCUCCAACGGUUGUCAAGUGGAGGUGAAGUCAGGUAAUCUUGUUGCUCAAACAAAUCAGUCCGGAAUCCUGAAUCUUACUGCGGAGAAGCAUACAGGGAAGUUUCUCGCGGAAAAAUGCAUGCAUGAGGUAGCUUACAUUACCCGGAAGGUGGGGAAAGCCUGCUAAGGUUGGAGGAUAACAAAGUACGUGAUUUGCCAGAAAAGCCUAUUGCUACGAAUUUGCAGAAGGAAGCCGUACUAAC